rnacentral:rRNA from 1 species
AAAGAAACUAACAAGGAUUCCCCUAGUAACUGCGAGUGAAGCGGGAAAAGCUCAAAUUUAAAAUCUGGCAGCCUUUGGCUGUCCGAGUUGUAAACUAGAGAAGUGUUAUCCGCGCUGGACCGUGUAAAAGUCUCCUGGAAUGGAGCAUCAUAGAGGGUGAGAAUCCCGUCUUUGACAUGGACUACCAGUGCUUUGUGAUGCGCUCUCAAAGAGUCGAGUUGUUUGGGAAUGCAGCUCAAAAUGGGUGGUAAAUUCCAUCUAAAGCUAAAUAUUGGCGAGAGACCGAUAGCGAACAAGUACCGUGAGGGAAAGAUGAAAAGAACUUUGGAAAGAGAGUUAAACAGUACGUGAAAUUGCUGAAAGGGAAACGCUUGAAGUCAGUCGCGUUGGCCAGGAAUCAACCUUGCUUUUGCUGGGCGUACUUUCUGGUUGACGGGUCAGCAUCAAUUUUGACUGUUGGAAAAAGUUCAAGGGAAUGUGGCAUCUUCGGAUGUGUUAUAGCCCUCGUUCGCAUACAGCAGUUGGGAUUGAGGAACUCAGCACGCCGCAAGGCCGGGUUUCGACCACGUUCGUGCUUAGGAUGCUGGCAUAAUGGCUUUAAUCGACCCGUCUUGAAACACGGACCAAGGAGUCUAACAUGCCUGCGAGUGUUUGGGUGGAAAACCCAAGCGCGCAAUGAAAGUGAAAGUUGAGAUCCCUGUCGUGGGGAGCAUUGACGCCCGGACCAGACCUUUUGUGACGGAUCCGCGGUAGAGCAUGCAUGUUGGGACCCGAAAGAUGGUGAACUAUGCCUGAAUAGGGUGAAGCCAGAGGAAACUCUGGUGGAGGCUCGUAGCGAUUCUGACGUGCAAAUCGAUCGUCAAAUUUGGGUAUAGGGGCGAAAGACUAAUCGAACCAUCUA